AUGUCCAUUCUCUCCCUCUCUAUGGCCAUACUCUCCAGGGCCCUCUCCCGGUCAAACUCCAUCCUCUCCCUCUGUACAUCCAAGAAGAGUUUGUGCCUCUCCUCCUCCAUUUUCUUUAAUGUUUCCCCCCUUGUUGGGAAAGUUGUCCGUCCAUGUGACGAAUAUUUUGCUUGUCACGCCCCCAUGCGCGAGUCUACCGUUCUCGCAAUCCUCCCCAUGACGUCUCUAUUCCUCUUUUGCAAGGCCCCGUGUCCAUCCGCCCUUUCACUUGGACCCUCGUCGUCAUCCAAUCCAAUGGAUUGGUGA
rnacentral:rRNA from 1 species